UACGGAGGGUGCGAGCGUUGUCCGGAAUCACUGGGCGUAAAGGGCGCGUAGGCGGCCCGUCAAGCGUGUGGUGAAAGCCCGGGGCUCAACCCCGGGUCGGCCGUGCGGACUGGCGGGCUCGAGCACUGUAGGGGCGGGUGGAAUUCCGGGUGUAGCGGUGGAAUGCGUAGAGAUCCGGAAGAACACCGGUGGCGAAGGCGGCCCGCUGGGCAGGAAGGCCCCCUCACGGGGGCCGGCUGGACGCUGAGGCGCGACAGCGUGGGGAGCAAACAGG
rnacentral:rRNA from 1 species